GGAUCAUUACCGAAUUCGCCCGUCAGGGCAGAGUUCCCACCCGUGUAGAACAUACCUUUGUUGCUUUGGCAGGCCGCCGGGGCUCGCCCCGCUGCCGGCUCACGCUGGCAAGCGCCUGCCAGAGGACCUUCAAACCUGAAAUUUAGUGUUGUCUGAGUACUAUUUAAUAAGUUAAAACUUUCAACAACGGAUCUCUUGGUUCUGGCAUCGAUGAAGAACGCAGCGAAAUGCGAUAAGUAAUGUGAAUUGCAGAAUUUAGUGAAUCAUCGAAUCUUUGAACGCACAUUGCGCCCUCUGGUAUUCCGGAGGGCAUGCCUGUUCGAGCGUCAUUACAACCCUCAAGCUCUGCUUGGUGUUGGGUCGCGCCGCCUGGCCGACCCCAAAGACAGUGGUGGCGCCCCCCGGCCCUCAGCGUAGUAAAUCUCUCGCUGCAGGGCCCGCGGUGGUGUCGACACCCUAAACUUACACGGUUGACCUC
rnacentral:rRNA from 1 species